GGUCAAAGAGGAAAAACUGACCUGAGUACUUUGAACUGGUCUUCAUGGGAGCCAAUCUCAUUUCUAUGACCAUGGAGGGAGAAUACUUCCCUUUAUCCCCCUUAUCACUUUGUUGAACAAGAGAAAAAACAAUAGAGAAGACUGAGAGAAGACUCCUGAGGGAUCACAUAAAGGACUUUCCACUUACAUGACUCGUGCUCCCUCAUCAAGAAUAGAUCUAGAAAACUACAAAGGUGCCUAUUAUCUGAAUUUAAGCAUCCCUAAAUAGAUAAAACAGCACUAAAGGAAAUGGUAUCUUCAGGUAUACGAGCUCUUCGUGAGGAACAACCCAUAUAAGAUUCUUAAAGAAGACAGAUUAUGAACACACCACACAACUACUGAUUGAUCGUCACUUGAAUUAAAUCAAUAGUUCUUUCAGGAGUGGCCAGUAGCUGUCAGCUCCAUAGACUCUUCUGAAGAAGGAACAUGUUUGUGGUGUUUCAGCUUAUUCUAGAUUACACAAGAAUGAGGUAUCAAAUGAGGUAUCACGAGCUUUGAUCCAAACAGAGCUUCUCUGUCUUCCUUUGAUGUUUGGAUAUAAAAAAUAUUAAUCCACUACAAAGCAUGGGAACUACCUAAUAUUUCAUGUACUGGGUUUAGCAUAUUUUUUACUAGGCUUUUUACAGUACCUAAAAUUUCAACCAGUUGUGAUAUAGAAAAUGUAAUUAUAGUAAAAAUGUUAAGAAAGUUCUAUUCUCUGAAGCAAUUAUAGUCAUCAUUAAAUUGAACUCUAGUGUUUUUAAGUACUUUUGGUGUUCUUCCAUCUUAUCAGAACAAAUAACACCUGUACCUAGGCAUUAUUCAGCACCUGUAGUUCACACAAGAUUUACUAUAAUCAGUCUCAAUCAACAUUUAAGAUGAAAAGUUUUCAGAAUCAGAUCAGUAUUUUUGAAACUUAAUCUAAUGAAGACCUAAACUUAAUAUUGGAUAUCUAAAAUGUUUCUGAAAAUUCUGGGCCCUGGAACUCCCAAUCCUGUUGAAGUCCAUUGACUUUAUCGGCUAUAAAGGUUCACACAUCUUCUGGCCUAUUUUUCAUUGCAUAUGAGGUAAUUGUAGAGCAAAAUAAGAAAAAACAUUUUAUAAAAUGCUUCCUUUUGAGUGAAUAAAUGCUUAAUAUUGAUGGUUAAGUAUGAGGAGAGGGCUUGACUGUAGUGCCAGAUGCACCUAAGUCUGACAAGGUUGCUGCAUUGUCCUAAUGAACUGAUGUGGUGUUUAUUAUUCAGGCACUUUGUCUCUGUCUCUUACAGCAGCUCUGUACAGAGUGCUUUGAGAAGUGAAGAAGGACUCUAAGUAUGUAGACUUGAAUACCAAUAUUUAUUUUUCAUGUUUUUGUGCAGCUGUGCCAAAAUUUGUAUUGAAUUUGAGUCCUGACAGCAAAUGGAUAGCCUUGUAUUCAGAAAUAAAAUCUCCUGUGUGUGCU
rnacentral:lncRNA from 7 species